GGUCAGGAUGAACGCUAGCGACAGGCUAACACAUGCAAGUCGAGGGGCAGCACGGGAGUAGCAAUACGAACUGGUGGCGACCGGCGCGACGGGUGAGUAACGCGUAGUGACCAACCUACCUAUCAGAGGGGAAUAACCCGGCGAAAGUCGGACUAAUACCGCAUAAAACAGGGGCACCGCAUGGUGAUAUUUGUUAAAGAGAUUCGCUGAUAGAUGGGCAUGCGUUCCAUUAGGUAGUUGGUGAGGUAACGGCUCGACCAAGCCGACGAUCGGAUAGGGGAACUGAGAGGUUGGUCCCCCACACUGGUACUGAGACACGGACCAGACUCCUACGGGAGGCAGCAGUGAGGAAUAUUGGUCAAUGGGCGGGAGCCUGAACCAGCCAAGCCGCCGUGAAGGAAGAAGGAUCUAUUGGUUCGUAAACUUCUUUUGCAGGGGAAUAAAGUGCAGGACGUGUCCUGUUUUGUAUGUACCCUGAGAAUAAGGAUCGGCUAACUCCGUGCCAGCCGCCGC
rnacentral:rRNA from 1 species